rnacentral:lncRNA from 1 species
AGUGUGUAGAAACACGACUGAUUUUUGUGUGUUGAUUUUGUAUUCUGCAGCCUUGCUAAAUUUGUUUAUUAGCUUUAAGAGGCUAUUUUUGGUAUUCUUUAGGGCUUUCUACACUUAUAUCACUUGCAAAUAGAGAUAGUUUUACUUCUUCCUUUCUAAUUUGGAUUUAUUUUAUUUCUUUUUCUUGCCUGAUGGGUCUGGCUAGAACUGCCAAUACUAUGUUGAAUAGAAGUGGCAAACACAGGCAUCCAUGGCUUCUGAUUUUAGUGGAAAAGCUUGAAAUUUUUCCCCAUUGAGAAUGAUGUCAGUCGUGAGUUUUUAAUACAUGGUCUUUAUCAUGUUGAGACAGUUCCUUUCUAUUCCUGGUUUGUUGAACAGUUCUAUCAUAAAGGAGGAAUGGAUUUUCUCAAAUGUUCUUCUAUAUCAAUUGAGAUGAUCAUGAGUUUUUCACUCCUUCAUUCUAUUACUUGGUGUAUUACAUCGACUGAUUUUCAUACGUUAAACCACUCUUAAAUUUCUGGGAUAAAUCUCAGUUGGUCAUAGUGUAAAAUUCUUUUAAGGGCUGCUGAAUUUAAUUUCCUAGUAUUUUGUUGGGGAUUUUUGUAUCUAUAAUGCAUUCAUAGGGGACAUUUGGCUAUAGUUUUCUUGUAUUGUCUGUCUAGCUUUGGUAUCAGGGUAAUGUUGGCUUCAUAGAAUGACUCAGAAAGGGUUCUGUUUCUCAACUUUUUGGAGGAGUUCGAGAAGGAUUAGUGUUAAUUCAUUUCUAAACGUUUGGUAGAAUUCACCAGCGAAGUCAUCAGUUCCUGGGCUUUUCUUUGUUAGGAGAGUUUUGGUUGCUGAUUCAAUCAGAAUUGAAUAUCAUUACUUUUUAUAGAUCUAUUCAGAUUUAUUCUUUGUUCUUGAGUCAACUUUGUUGGUUUGUAUGUUUCUAGGAAUUUGUCUGUUUCAUCUAGGUUAUCCAAUUUUUUGACAUAUAGCUCUUAUACGAAUUCUCUUACAAUCCUUUUUAUUCCUAUAAAUCAGUAGUAGUGUCUUUCAUUUCUGAUUUUAGUAGUUGAGUAUUCUUUUUCCUUAAUCUAGUUAAAGCUUUGUCAACUUUGUUGAUCUCUUCAAAGAACUAAUUUUUUGUUUCAUUGAUUCUAUUGUUUUUCUAUUCUCUAUUUCAUUUAUUUUUGCUCUAAUCCUUAUUAUUUCCUUCCUCUUUAUGGCUUCAAACUCAAUUGAACAUAAAGUAUUAAGAAAUUUGACUUUUUUUCUCAAAUGUCUAAAAUGUAAGAAGAAAUAUGUCUAGAGUCAUCAAAAAGCAGCCUGUUUGUCAGAUUUACUGUUUAAUCCAUGUAAACAGCUUUCAUAUAAUUCAUGAUAGAAUAUUACUAUGUGCUUUGGAAGACACUGAGGAAAGACAAAAGGUCAUUGGGCAGAACCACCCUAGAUUGACUGUUAAGGCCAUCUUCUAGUUUGCAGGACUUGUGGUAGACAGACAGAAUAAUAUCCUGGACCUCUUGGGUGUAUACAGGACAAACUGAAAUAAACUCUCAUUUUUAGAUCAUAAUGUCAUCAUGAAACAUAUCAAUUCGGUCUAUUUCUGAAGAAAACAAGCACAAUGAUAAAGUUUGAAUGUUUGUCUCCUCCAAAUCUCAUGCUGACAUUUGAUCCCCAAUGUUGGAGGUGGGGCGCACUGGGAGGUGUUUUGGUUACGGGGGCAGAUCCCUCAUGAAUGGCUUGGUGCUGUCUUCAUGGGAUUAUGUUCUCACUCCUACUUCCUGUGAGAUCUUAUUGUUAAAAAGAAUCUGAUACCUUCCUCCCCUCUCUUGCUCUCUUCCUCCCUGAUCAUGUGACACACGGGUUCCCCUUUGCCUUCCACCACGAUGGAGGCUUCCUGAGGCCCUCAACAGAAGCAGAUGCUGGUGCCAUGCUUCUCGUACAGCCUGCAGAAUUGUGUGAGCCAAAUAAACCUCUUUUCCUUAUAUAUUACCCAGCCUCAGGUAUUUGUUUAUAGCAAUAAAAACAGACUGAGACACAUGAUGAAGACCCUUUGAUAUCCUAUAAAUAUUGAUUUCUCUCCCUGAGAGAAGAGCAUGAAUCUAAGUGAUGCCAUUACUGUAAUGUGAAUUCCACAACUUUUCUCAAAGAUGUGGCCCAUAUGUUUCUAAUAAUGGCUUUCUAAGAAUCUGUUCUGAAGGGGUACCUUCUCUCUGAUUUUCAUUUGCAUUUCCUGCUUAGCUUACACACUUCAACUUGCCUAUCCACCUGUCCUGACCCCAAUAACCUCCAUCAUCAGACAUCUCAUCUUACCUACCUACUUUCUACUUUUCCCAGUCCUUCCCGUGCUUCAUAAACCAUGAUCAUGAGCUAGAGACACAAGGUCAUAGCUAAGGAGUUGGGAUCAGAAAAUCACCUUCUGUGAUUUUCCAUUAUUCUCAAUACGUAACUUCAACAAAAUCAAGAAAAUCAUGAAAGGACAUCCUAAGGGGUCAGGUGAGGUUGCAGUGGGGUUAGUCGGUCAAUAGUUUCUUUAUGCCAAUUAGGAUUUCUGCAGAAAACAAUGAAACACUGGUUUAAACAGUAAAAAUAUUUUAAUUCCUUACAGAAGCCCAUGGAACAUACACUCCAGGUUUAAUUCAUCAGCUCAAUAGCAUCAUCAACGACUUAGGUUCUUUCCACUUUCUGCUUGUCAUCUGUGUUGGCUUUAUUUUCAAGCUAGCUCCUCCCUGGUUGCAAGAUAAUUGCAGCAGGUUUAGUUAUCAUAUUCGGACAUGCUAACGCCCAGGCUAGUGAUCCCUUCCUUACAUUUCUUUCUCAUUUUAAGAACAAAGUGUUUAAAAAAUUAUACUUAAAAUUAUUGGCAUCUCUGUCAAUUGAAAGAUGUCAAUCUCUUUCAUUUUUCCUAAUCACUAAUAACAUCUACUAAAAACAAAAUGUCUGUGUAAAUAAUUUAUUUGAAUAAAAUUAAAGUUGUUGAGUGAGCUCGGCUUUUGAGGAGUGGGAAAGGAGGGGUGCAUAGAUUAGUGGAAGAUGAGAAGCUAGUGGGGCUCAAGUCCAGCAGGAGCAGGAGUUUGGAGCCAGGACUUCCUAGCCUCUCAGGGUUUUUUUUUAACUUCCUUACCUGAAAUGAUUUGUGCUAUAUAACUUGUCCUGGCUAAACUUUCUUAAUCUCAACUGUUUCAUUUAAUCAAUAACAACUACUGCGCCACCUUCAUAAUAUCAAUUUUCAGCAUUUCAUUUACUGAAUAUCAUUUCCUUUCCUUCCAGACUAUUCUACUGUGUCAAAUUCAAUAUUCCUUUGACUCAAUAGGAUCUCCAAUCCAGUGACCCCAUUAUUUGUUUGUUUAUUAGGACAAGAAAAACAAACUUUCCCAGAAACUCCCCAGUAGACUGCUCCUCAUAUCUCGUUGGCUAGAACUGAGUUGCGUGCCCAUUCCUAAAACAAAACUGGC